rnacentral:rRNA from 1 species
UACGUAGGGGGGCAAGCGUUGUCCGGAUUUAUUGGGCGUAAAGAGCGUGUAGGCGGCCAUACAGGUCAGCUGUGAAAAACUCGAGGCUCAACCUCGAGACGUCGGUUGAAAACCGUAUGGCUAGAGUCCGGAAGAGGAGAGUGGAAUUCCCGGUGUAGCGGUGAAAAUGCGCAGAUAUCGGGGAAGAACACCCGUGGCGAAGGCGGCCAGCUGGGCCCGGACCUGACGCUGAGACGCGAAGGCGUGGGGGAGCGAAACGGG